rnacentral:rRNA from 1 species
AAUGAACGCUGGCGGCAGGCCUAAAACAUGCAAGUCGAGCGCCCUAGCAAUAGGGAGCGGCGCACGGGUGAGUAACACGUGGGAAUAUGCCUUUUGGUACGGAACAACCUCGGGAAACUGAGGCUAAUACCGUAUGGUCCCUUCGGGGUAAAGAUUUAUCGCCAAAAGAGUAGCCCGCGUUGGAUUAGCUAGUUGGUAAGGUAACGGCUUACCAAGGCGACGAUCCAUAGCUGGUCUGAGAGGACGAUCAGCCACACUGGGACUGAGACACGGCCCAGACUCCUACGGGAGGCAGCAGUUAGGAAUAUUGGGACAAUGGGCGCAAGCCUGAUCCAGCCAUGCCGCGUGAGUGAUGAAGGCCUU